GAUGAACGCUGUCUACAGGCUUAACACAUGCAAGUCGAGGGGAAACGACGGGGAAGCUUGCUUCCCCGGGCGUCGACCGGCGCACGGGUGAGUAACGCGUAUCCAACCUGCCUCUGACUGAGGGAUAACCCGUCGAAAGUCGGCCUAAUACCUCAUGGCAUCGUCUGCGGGCAUCCAACGACGAUUAAAGAUUUCAUCGGUCAGGGAUGGGGAUGCGUCUGAUUAGCUUGUUGGCGGGGUAACGGCCCACCAAGGCUACGAUCAGUAGGGGUUCUGAGAGGAAGGUCCCCCACAUUGGAACUGAGACACGGUCCAAACGCCUACGGGAGGCAGCAGUGAGGAAUAUUGGUCAAUGGGCGGGAGCCUGAACCAGCCAAGUAGCGUGCAGGAGGACGGCCCUAUGGGUGGUAAACUGCUUUUAGGCGGGGAUAAAGUGAGGGACGUGUCCUUCAUUGCAGGUACCGCAUGAAUAAGGACCGGCUAAUUCCGUG
rnacentral:rRNA from 1 species